rnacentral:rRNA from 1 species
AGUGAACGCUGGCGGCAGGCCUAAUACAUGCAAGUCGAACGGCAGCACAGCAGAGCUUGCUCUGUGGGUGGCGAGUGGCGGACGGGUGAGGAAUACAUGGGAAUCUGCCCAGUCGUGGGGGAUAACGUAUGGAAACGUACGCUAAUACCGCAUGCGCCCUACGGGGGAAAGUCGGGGACCGCAAGGCCUGACGCGAUUGGAUGAGCCCAUGUUCGAUUAGCUAGUUGGCGGGGUAAAGGCCCACCAAGGCGACGAUCGAUAGCUGGUCUGAGAGGAUGAUCAGCCACACUGGAACUGAGACACGGUCCAGACUCCUACGGGAGGCAGCAGUAGGGAAUAUUGGACAAUGGGGGCGAACCCUCGAUCCAGCCAUGCCGCGUGAGUGAAGAAGGCCCUCGGGUUGUAAGCUCUUUUGUCCGGAAAGAAAGCAAUCGGUUAAUACCCGGUUGUUCUGACGGUACCGGAAGAAUAAGCACCGGCUAACUUCGUGCCAGCA